rnacentral:rRNA from 1 species
UCAGAUUGAACGCUGGCGGCAGGCCUAACACAUGCAAGUCGAGCGGUAACAUUUCUAAGCUUGCUUAGAAGAUGACGAGCGGCGGACGGGUGAGUAAUGCUUGGGGAUCUGCCUGAUGGCGGGGGACAACCACUGGAAACGGUGGCUAAUACCGCAUAAUACCUAUGGGUCAAAGUGUGGGACCUUCGGGCCACACGCCAUCAGAUGAACCCAAGUGAGAUUAGCUGGUUGGUAAGGUAACGGCUUACCAAGGCGACGAUCUCUAGCUGGUCUGAGAGGAUGAUCAGCCACACUGGGACUGAGACACGGCCCAGACUCCUACGGGAGGCAGCAGUGGGGAAUAUUGGACAAUGGGGGCAACCCUGAUCCAGCCAUGCCGCGUGUGUGAAGAAGGCCUUCGGGUUGUAAAGCACUUUCAGUGGUGAGGAAGGUGGUGUCGUUAAUAGCGGCAUCAAUUGACGUUAGCCACAGAAGAAGCACCGGCUAACUCCGUGCCAGCAGCCGCGGUAAUACGGAGGGUGCGAGCGUUAAUCGGAAUUACUGGGCGUAAAGCGCACGUAGGCGGUAUGUUAAGCAAGAUGUGAAAGCCCAGAGCUCAACUCUGGAAUAGCAUUUUGAACUGGCAUGCUAGAGUUUUGAAGAGGGUGGUAGAAUUU